rnacentral:rRNA from 1 species
UAUUACGUCUUUUUUUACUAUCGCACGUACAGUGUAUAUAAGCUUAUCCUAAGUGCUCACGUAUGGAGAGGAAUUUUGCCAAGAGAAAUAUCUUGGAGUAAUGUGGGGGGUAAGACUGGUGCCAGCCGCCGCGGUAACACCAACGCCACGAGUGGCAACCGCGUUUCUUGGGCCUAAAGGGUUCGUAGCAGGAAAGAUAAAUCCUUUGUGAAAUCGUUUUGCUCAACAUAACGGCGUGCAGGGGAGACUUUUUUUUUCUUGAGACCGGGGGGAGUUAGAAGUAUUUGGGGGGGAGGGGAAAAUGUUGAAAUCCUCGGAAGACUACCUGUGCGAAGGGGUCUAACUAGAACGGAUCGGAUGUGAGAACAAAAACCAGGGGACCCAACCGGAUAUAUUCCCGAGAGCCUGGUCGAAACACUUGGGCAG